GCCCACCUCGCCUCUCCAUCCUGCUCCGCCCUCUGCCCGCCCCGCCCCGAAGCCACGCCCUGCCGGGUGCUUUCCCAUGGGCGACCGAAACUCGGCUCGUGGUUUCGCAGUCCUGGAACCGCCGGCACCCGCGUAGACCGUCCCCUCUCGGUGCUGGCUCUGGCUCCCGGGAUGAGUGUCCCCGUCGGCGCUGCCCCGCCCUCGCUCGUCGCCUCAGCGACCAUGGCCUUUCCAGGAGGCGAGGCCGCCAGCCAUAGCGCCCUCGCUGCGUCGGCGUCCAGGCGGGACUCCGGAGUGGGCGGGGCUCCGGCUCUAGGCAGGCUGCUAUGUUGGAUCAAGUAAAGUUCUAAACGCUGUGCACCUAUUUAGUACUGACUAGUACUAGGAAGUGUAUUUGCUUUUCGGAGAUGAUGGGAUCUAAAUUUUGUUUAUACCACUUCACGCCCAUUAGGAUGGCUACUAGCAAAACCCCCAGAAAUUAGUGUUGGUGAAGAUGUAGAGAAAUUGAAGCCCUUGUAUAUUGCUGUUGGGAAUGUAAAAUGGUGCAGCCAUGUGAUGAACAAUACUGCGGUUCCUCAACAAAUCAGUUAUAUGAUCCAGCAUUUUCUUUUCUGGGUAUAUAACCCAAAAGAAUUUAAAACAGGGUGUACAAGAAGAAAUGUUUUUACACUCACGUUGACAGCGGCACUAUUCACAAUAGCCAAAAGGGUGGAGGCAAUUUAAGUGUCCAAAAACAGAUACAUGGAUAAGCAAAAUGUUGUCUGUGCAUGCAAGGGAACAUUUUUUAGCCUGAACAAAGAACGAAAUUCUGACACUUGCUACUACAUGGAUGAACCUGGAGGACACUAUGCUGAGGGAGAGACUCCAGUCCCACCAGAUUUCCCACCGAUCUGCUGACAUGAUGCUCCUGCCUCUGCCUGGACUGCUGACCUCCCCACGUGCUUCUCCCUGCUUAUCCAAGCGCCCCUUUCCCACUGAAAGCAUCUCAGAACCCUGAAGAAGCUGCAUCCCUGUACAUCUGUCACUGGCAGAACCAGGAACCAGAACGAGAUCUUAUCAUAAAACCUAUGGAAGAAAUCGAGGAUGUUUGCAUAGGACGUUUUUGGAGAAUUUGGCCUUUUGAAAGAAAAUGUAACUAAGCUCUGUGGUUCUGAAAGCUUCCUCUACCUGAGAUGAUUUCAAGAUCUCCAGGACACCUGUGGGUAUCAUUGGUAGAUGCUGUUCAGGUAGUUAAGGUGAUGUUGGUGAGUAUUAUUUGAUAAAAAUGCUGGAUAUUACAUUAACUCACUUCCAUUCUAGACUGCCAGUAACUACUAUCACCUACCUUUUACUUCACCUGAUAGAGAUAUGGGAGUUAAAAGAAAAUUUUUCAUCACUAAUGGUAGUCUUUGAGCUAUAUAAGGUCAGAAACAAAAAUAUCCAAGACUGAUUUCUUACCUUCAAAAAGUAGCAAGCAAGGUAAAAGCAAAUAAGCAGAUAACUUCCCAUUUAUCAGAGAUUGGGUGAAAUAGGACUACUAUGCACUCCAGGUUAGAGUCAAAGAUGCCUGCCAGUCACAAGGACCUGUAACCCGAUGCUUGCGGGCAUCUGUGAUGAAUCCUAGCCCCAGAUGAAAUACUCCCAGACCAAGUGGUUUGGCAGGGUCCAUUCCACAGGGGCAAUUUGCAUCUGGCAGCUGAUGAUGCCCUCUGUCCCCAUUAUAACCCACAAUCUAUAAUAGAGCUGCUUGGUUGCUGUAUUUUCUGAAAAAUAAAAAAAGACAAGCUUGUGACUAUCGAAGACCCAUUUACCUGUUGGUGGCAAGGAGCUGAAUGGCAUGGUGGGUGUAUUUCCUAGAUAGUUGGUCUCAGGCACUGGGAUAUUAUGCAGACUAGGCAUAUGACUUGGAAUUGGCCUGUACCAAACUCUGGGACCUGCUGUUCCUGGAUCCAGUGGUCUUGUUCCAAAGCCAUGUGAGCUAUAUAAUCCAUUGUUCUGAUACAGUACUUGAGGUUGGCUGGUGAGCCCUGAGGGCUGGUGCACUGCAUUACCAUGACUGGCUGCACUGGAAUAAGCAGUGCCUUUUCCCUCUGUAUUCUGAAAAUUCUCGUAAGGUCUUUGCUGUGCAAAAGGGUCAUGGGAGACCCUGCGUCUCCUUUCCUCCUCUCUGUUGUAAGCCACAUUCUGUCUGGGCUGCUGUUUCGUCUGCCUGUCCAUGCGGCUGCCAUAAAGAUGGUAGUUGGCUUCGUCUUGGAGUUUACUCUGCAGGCUGGGCUCAUUCUCUUCUUGUGGGUGCUCCAGGGAAGGAGCAAACCAGGACUCCUCCACAGGACCCAUCCCAAGUCCCUGGGAACUGUGCAGUGAACCAGGCUGUUCUGUGGCUGAGAAGAAAUGAUCAACAUUAGAAUGGGUGUCAUGAAACAUUAAAAAGUAAAAUAAAA